rnacentral:rRNA from 1 species
CUACGCGAGGCAGCAGUGAGGAAUAUUGGGCAAUGCCCGCAAGGGUGACCCAGCAACGCCGCGUGGAGGAUGAAGGCCGUAAGGUUGUAAACUCCUGUUAGAGGAGAAGAACAGUACCGAUUGGAUCGGUAUUUGACUGUACCCUCAGAGAAAGCCCCGGCUAACUACGUGCCAGCAGCCGCGGUAAUACGUAGGGGGCAAGCGUUGUCCGGAUUUACUGGGUGUAAAGGGCGCGCAGGCGGGAUAGCAAGUCAGAGGUGAAAUCCUACAGCUUAACUGUAGAACUGCCUUUGAUACUGUUAUUCUUGAGUUCGGGAGAGAGAGACGGAAUUCCAGGUGUAGUGGUGAAAUACGUAGAUAUCUGGAAGAACACCAGUUGCGAAGGCGGUCUCUUGGUCCGAUA